rnacentral:rRNA from 1 species
AAAAAAUAACCUCCNCGAAAAANGGCAUAAAACCCUUAUCAAAGAGCCNCAUCUCUAUGAAUUAGUAAACUAAUUUCUGAUGAUCCGAUAUUCGAUCAACGAACCAAGUUACCCUGGGGAUAACAGCGCAAUCCGCCUUAAGAGCCCCUAUCGACAGGCGGGUUUACGACCUCGAUGUUGGAUCAGGGUAUCCCAGUGGUGCAACAGCUACUAAAGGUUCGUUUGUUCAACGAUUAAAACCCU